AACGAACGCUGGCGGCAUGCCUAACACAUGCAAGUCGAACGAGAUCUUCGGGUCUAGUGGCGCACGGGUGCGUAACGCGUGGGAACCUGCCCUUUGGUUCGGAAUAACAGUUGGAAACGACUGCUAAUACCGGAUGAUGACGAAAGUCCAAAGAUUUAUCGCCAGAGGAUGAGCCCGCGUAGGAUUAGCUAGUUGGUGUGGUAAGGGCGCACCAAGGCGACGAUCCUUAGCUGGUCUGAGAGGAUGAUCAGCCACACUGGGACUGAGACACGGCCCAGACUCCUACGGGAGGCAGCAGUGGGGAAUAUUGGACAAUGGGCGAAAGCCUGAUCCAGCAAUGCCGCGUGAGUGAUGAAGGCCUUAGGGUUGUAAAGCUCUUUUACCCGGGAUGAUAAUGACAGUACCGGGAGAAUAAGCUCCGGCUAACUCCGUGCCAGCAGCCGCCGCGG
rnacentral:rRNA from 1 species